UCCGGUUUAUCACCGGCAGUCUCCUUUGAGUUCCCACCAUUACGUGCUGGCAACAAAGGAUAAGGGUUGCGCUCGUUGCGGGACUUAACCCAACAUUUCACAACACGAGCUGACGACAGCCAUGCAGCACCUGUCUCACGGUUCCCGAAGGCACUAAGGCAUCUCUGCCGAAUUCCGUGGAUGUCAAGGCCAGGUAAGGUUCUUCGCGUUGCAUCGAAUUAAACCACAUGCUCCACCGCUUGUGCGGGCCCCCGUCAAUUCAUUUGAGUUUUAACCUUGCGGCCGUACUCCCCAGGCGGUCGACUUAACGCGUUAGCUCCGGAAGCCACGCCUCAAGGGCACAACCUCCAAGUCGACAUCGUUUACGGCGUGGACUAC
rnacentral:misc_RNA from 1 species